CCCUAACACAACCCGCACCACUCGUCCUCUCGCCCCCUCCCUCCUACGCACCCACAGCCGCCGCCCUCUCCCUCCCUCAGAUCUUGAUCCGCCGCCGCCCCCAAACCCGUAGACGUGGUGCUGUGGCGCCGAGGCCGGGCCGACCUGAGCGCCCUACUCCCAGCGACCGCCGUCGCUUCCUAGAUCCUAUUCCACGUCGCCUCCGGAUACACGGCAGUGUCGCUGGCCGCCGACGUGCUCCUUCUCCUCCUGGCCGUGCUGUACGCGUGGUCCAGGGCCGCGCGCCUCCUCGGUCACCCCGCGCCGCCCAUCCCCGAUCUGCAGCCGGCGGCCGACGAGCUUGCCGCGCUCAUCCGUUCCGGCCUCGCCGGCAUCGCCUCCGCCUUCCGCCGCGUCGCGCAGGGCCAGCCUGGAUCCGGGCACGUCUUCGCCUGUCUCGCCGCCGCCGCCCUGCUCGCCAGGCUCGCGCGCGACCUCCCCUUAUGAAUUCGACGACAUGGUUGAGUUGGAUCACUUCACCUCCUCUGAUGGACUGAUUGUUUUUGUGGUGGCACUCCAAUCCUGCAGUUGUGGUGGGCGCCGGAAACCCUAGCUGCCGGGGCGCGGCCAUGGUGACCUACCGCAGGCGCAGGACUCGGACUCGGACAACGGUGGUAUGGUAGGCGUCAUGGAGCGGAGCUUGCUCUGUCCGGGACGCCAUGGAUCUGUUGCGCGUGAAGCUCUUUCUUCCUCCAGCACAAGAACGUACAAGCAGCAUCCAAGGACGAACCCGGCGGAAAACCCAUGGUGCCAUCUGCAGGACAAAUCGGCGUGCUAAUCUGUCGUGCUUUCCUUCAAACUGCUGUAACGUGCAUCCGACAGGCUAAUUGUAAUCUUCGUGGUGCGUUUGAGACCGUUAGAGAGAGUCCAGCAUUUACCAUGAUUUGCUGUUGGCGGCACUAGGUGGACAAGUUGUACCUUCGGAGUAGUACUAUAUCAACCUGAUGGAACCUUCAAGUUGUUUCAUUGAUUUUCCAUGAAUAUAUACUACUACAGCAGCCUGUUACUAUCACUACAUGCCAUCCUUUUUAUUUUCAGUAGUGAUUUUGAUGCACAAAUGCUUGUGAGAAUAUGAUGCUUUAGCCUAGAUAUAUGAUGCAAAGUAUGUUGCUGCAAGUGUUAGGUCCUCGUUGUGGGUUUCUAACUUUGUAGCGCUGAGGAUAUCUUUUAUGUUGCACCUGAAAUUUUCUAUUGAAGUCGUUAGCUAAGUAGUUGCUUGUAGGACUUGAGCAUCGGUUCUACUCUGAAAAUCAUGUGUGUUUGAUGGUAUAAUUAUCUUUGGUUCAUCUACACUUGGUAGCUUGUAUCAAGCUUGAACAUCAAGGUGCUAGACCAUGGUUAGCCCGAGUCUUUGUUCAACUUCCUAUUAGUAGAAAGCAAUGUCAAUGUGUCCCAGUUUGGCUGUUUCAUCUGCUCCAGUGCCAUCUGAUGAGGUGCCUGGAUCUAGGUGCCAUCCCCGCCUCUGUGUCGAGUCAUUCAAUUUGUGGUCGCAUAGUAGCGUCAGUGUUGUGUACUAAUGUUUAGCACGGAUGAUGUACAUACGGUGUGUCUACACGCGAGACUAUCUAAUCCCACCCAAUUAAUGGUUGUUUUAGUCAUGCUGCUGGUUUUAAUCAUGGAUAUGGGAGAAUGCAUGAUGGACAUGCUAGUUGGUUAAUACUCCUAUCUGUGAUAGUGCAUCAGGAACUCUGCAUGCUGCUGUCCUUUGUCUCAUCAUCUUAACUACUACAGUAGUAGGAGUAUUUUAUAUGUUGUUCAUUUCUUGGCCACCCAACAUGUUUUCUAAUCAUCCAUCUGCCUCAUGUUAUAUGAUCCCUACCUAGUAACUUCAUUAUAUGCAAACUUGUGGUGUUGGUUCAGUUUAGUCAGAUUAAUAUGUAUACUGCUAUGCUGCUGCUACUACUACUUGUGGCAGGGAAUACUCUCUGUUGAGUAUUUUGAGGAAUGAAGAUCUGUUAAGUAUGGAGUUAGGAAUAUCUAAUAAAAAUUUCUGCUAUAUACAUAUGCAUGAAACUGAGAUUGCUAGCAUCAUUUACACGAGAUACACCCUUUGAAUUGAAUUGAUUGGUUCAGUUUCGUAUAUUCUUCACCGAGCAUUCUAUCAUGCUUGUAACUAGUGCUCUGCUCAUGUUGUAAGACAUGAUUUUCACUUCCUGCCAUUCCAGCCUUCUAUCAUGAUUACAAGAUUUUUCUUUGCAUGGCAGCAGCACCAGUACCUUGCUGCUGCUAUUGGGAACGGAAGGGAGUUGUUCCAUGCACCUAAUAGAGGGAAAAAAUCACCUUCGGCAUCUACGCCAUCACCUUGGGCGUGCUCGUGGCGCUGCUGCUCGGACUCAACAUGUCUUGGAGUGCCAUUACCGCCGCCCUCACGCUCAUUUUCCUUGACUUCAAGGACGCCCGCCCCUGCCUCGAGAAGCCCCAUCAUUGAGCGAAGAUGCAACAGCGGCAAGAAGCUCACGGAUGUGUGCAUCUAAAGCACACCAUGGAGAUCAUCCACCUCCUCACAGUGGCAAGAAGAGCUCCAUGCUGAAGAACAUAACACUUGUAGAGAUUGUAAAGUAUUGUAUCUAGUUAUUGAACUUGUGGAGCUUGUAUGUUAGAGCUUAUUACGUGUUAUUUGUACAACAGGAGCUCUGUACUGAAUUUGGUUGAUAAUAUUUGAAGUAUUUCAUGUGUUU